GACGAACGCUGGCGGCGUGCUUAACACAUGCAAGUCGAACGGAAAGGCCCUGCUUGCAGGGUACUCGAGUGGCGAACGGGUGAGUAACACGUGGGUGAUCUGCCCUGCACUUCGGGAUAAGCUUGGGAAACUGGGUCUAAUACCGGAUAGGAGCCAUCUUUAGUGUGGUGGUUGGAAAGUUUUUUCGGUGUAGGAUGAGCUCGCGGCCUAUCAGCUUGUUGGUGGGGUAAUGGCCUACCAAGGCGGCGACGGGUAGCCGGCCUGAGAGGGUGUACGGCCACAUUGGGACUGAGAUACGGCCCAGACUCCUACGGGAGGCAGAAGUGGGGAAUAUUGCACAAUGGGCGCAAGCCUGAUGCAGCGACGCCGCGUGGGGGAUGAAGGCCUUCGGGUUGUAAACUCCUUUCGCUAGGGACGAAGCUUUUUGUGACGGUACCUAGAUAAGAAGCACCGGCUAACUACGUG
rnacentral:rRNA from 1 species